AUCCAACUGAUGAGUUUCAAAUAGGACGAAACUUGUGUCCUAGAU
rnacentral:hammerhead_ribozyme from 1 species